rnacentral:rRNA from 1 species
CCCUGAGACUUWRAGUCUCCUGAAGGAACGUUGAAGACGACGACGUUGAUAGGCCGGGUGUGUAAGCGCAGCGAUGCGUUGAGCUAACCGGUACUAAUGAACCGUGAGGCUUAACCUU